rnacentral:rRNA from 1 species
AUGCUGACGGCUAGCGUCAAGUUCGAUCCCACGGAUCAGGAGUUGAUCGAGCACCUUGAGGCCAAAGUGAGUGCUGAUAGCAUGAGAUCUCACCCUCUCAUCGAUUUGUUCAUACCAACCAUCGACAGCGAGCACGACAUAUGCUACACCCAUCCUGAAAAACUUCCAGGCAUACCUAGUGAAGCAAUUACAAUUUGA